rnacentral:tRNA from 1 species
AGGUCAUUGGUGUAAUGGCAGCACAGCGGGCUCCAACCCCGUUAGUCAGAGUUCAAAUCUUUGGUGGCCUG